rnacentral:rRNA from 1 species
GAUGAACGCUGGCGGCGUGCUUAACACAUGCAAGUCGAACGGGAUCCAAGGGGUGCUUGCACUUUUUGGUGAGAGUGGCGAACGGGUGAGUAACACGUGAGUAACCUGUCCUUUUCUUUGGGAUAAGCAUUCGAAAGGGUGUUUAAUACCUUAUGUUCUGUCUGCCUCGCAUGGGGUGGGUGGGAAAGGCUUUGGCCGGAUUUGGGUGGGCUCGCGGUCUAUCAGCUUGUUGGUGGGGUGAUGGCUUACCAAGGCUUUGACGGGUAGCCGGCCUGAGAGGGGGGUGGGCCACAGGGGGGUUGAGAACCGCCCCAGCCGCCGGCGGGGGGAGGGAGGGGGGGAUAUGGCAAAGGGGGAGAGAGCCGAAUCCGGCGAGGCCGGGGGGGGGAGGAGGGCUUUGGGUGUUUAAAUUUUUUGGGCUCUGAACAAGGCACGCAAGGGGGGGUUUGGGGUGGGGGGUUGGUUGGGCGCCGGCUAACUCGGUC